GAUGGUGCCCCGCGUGCAAGAACUACACAGCAGGUCUAAUUCUAGUGCAGACUGAUCAUCCUUCAGUUGCCUGACACCCAGCCUGCAGAAUACGUUCAGAAUUAAGCAGAGACCUGGGCUGUAAAGAACAUCAGGUGCUGUCUUUUCACGUUUGCCUCAGUCGAGUGUUGAUGAAUGUAUAUGAACUCUCUCGCACGCCAUAGUGGCUGGCCCCGCGCGUCUGAUUCCAGUCGUCACGGCAUUGGAAUCGGAGAAGCCAGUAGUUAUUGAAGUGUUGAAGAAAACCGAUCAAUUGGAUUUCUUCGGUGUGGAAGAUUUCCCAGUUGAUUUGCAAGAAACCUGGGGAUUUAGUUGACUCUCAUUUUGGCCACUCAGAUGUUUGUGCGUCAAGAGAAUCUAUGAGCCAAAAGCAACUCCUCCAUCUUCCACUGGAGACUGCUUUUCUCUGCAAGGUAGCCCCUAAGAACAACAGUGAGACUUGAAGUUUUCCAAGAGCCUCUCCAGAGUUCUCCAAGGCACUGUUCACCAGGAGUCAUUCUUCUGACUGUGUUCCAACAGAUGGCAAUGAAGUUGUGAAGAAAAGGAAUGAAGUUAAAAUAAAUGAAUUCACUGCUUGAAAGUGAUGGUGUUACCCUGCAGGACAAUCAGUCUAGAGCCUGAUCUGACAAGAAGGUGGGUCUGAGCCUGCUGACAGAAUACCUUUUCAUUUGCUUUGGAGUAAACGUUCCAGUAGUGUGAUGGUCACAGAGUGGGGACAGCCUGGAGACUUCCCAAGCUUGCAGAGCUUGUUGAAAGGCAGAAGAUUGGUGCUGAUGCUGAGCCGCCUGAGGAUGCUGCAAUUCUAUAGGACAGUCCUUCCUGGAGGCUUGGCUAUGGAACAAAUCAGACGCGCACAUCCCCUCUGAACUCUGAGUGGGGUCCGGGACAGUGAGCGGCCAUCUUGAGUGUCUGCUGUAUCCAGAAACUAUGGAAGUGGAAAAUACCUGACCGUCUUGACAGUUCUACAAGUGCAAUCCCUAACAUUGUCUAUCACGCCUGCACAGACACGUGUCUAUUGUAGAAUCACAAAGGAGCCAGCCACAGCCCUUUCAGUUCCAAAAGGCUGACCACCCGGAGCUUUCUUCUUAUAGCUGGUCGAGCUAGCAGCCCUUUGGCUCACACCUUCUCACUUAUGAGUGGUGAGCUAAGAUGUGUUUAAACUGCAGUAACAUUUACUCCCACCGGAACAGCAGAGAAGGAAGUCGCACGCAGCUGUUGGGGAGGAGGGUCGAAAACAGGAAGAUGGCGUUUUCUCCCAGUACUUUCAUGGUUGAUGAAUGAGAUCUGGGUUUCAGAGGAUAAAAAUCUCAAUUCUGAGGAAUUGGUAUUGCAUGGAUAUUUCUCAUGAAUAAUUCAAAUACUGACCUCAGACCUGUGUAUAUGGACGUACAAACACUAAGGGAGCUAAAAAUAAAACAAAGAAGCAGAGAAAGAAAAGGCGUGUUAACCGCGGCGAUCCAGCAUCAGUGUUCGUGAUGGUUAACUGAAGGGCCCGGAUAGCUGAUAAACAUGGUCUCUGGGUCCAUCUGGAGAUGAGCAGUGACCAAAUCACAGCACAGAGAAGAUCUGCCUUCCGGAGGGCACCGCCCAAUCUGUUGAACGGGGCUGUGAGGGCGGCAAUGGGACAAGGUGACCUUUGCCAGAUGUCAGCGACUUGGUUUUGACCUUUUCUGCUGCCCAAAUUGUGAGACGCACAUUAUUAAAAAAAA
rnacentral:lncRNA from 1 species